ACUUUUUAUACAAUAUGAUAUCCACCUAUUCUUAGCAAGCAUUGCUAAGGUUGAACACAAGUGGAAUAAAGUAUAGCAUGACUAUCCCUUGUGCUAUUUUAAACAAAUACAGAGUGAAAGCCAAAGUGUUUUCACAGACAAUGGGCUUAGGCAGAGGGGUAUUACAUUAGGAUUCAUAAGUACUCCACUUAACCCAGGCUGAAGAGUUACCUAACAGCUGCAAUAACCAGAGGUCUUCAUUCAGUGAUGCACAUUUUUACCAACAAAUAAAGACACAACUCCUCCAUGAAAUAUGUUCAUUUUUGUAGUACAGGGUAAGACUUAACGUUUUAAAGAACAAACAUUACUCAUCAGACUUGGGAUGUGAACAAAAAGACACACGAAGGCGGGUGGAGAGCUGGGGAAACAGCUACCAACCUGAGAAGGCCAUCUCCACUAAUGGACCAUCAACGUCUCACAGUGUGACUCACAGAAUUACAGCAUCCCCGAGAUGCCCCGCUCUGAGGAGGGAACCAAAUGUUCCUAUAUGUAUAUAAUAUAAUCUGAGGUUCGGAACACCAUGGGCAGCACCUACCACUGGAUUCCCAGAGGACAAGAGCUAAAUAACCACCAUUGGACCUCCAGAGAAGGACCAGAUCUUUCUACAGGACCACUGCUUUUGACAGAACCACACCUAUCACUCCAACAGAACUGUAGCCACCAUUUAAUCAGAUUGCCACCACCACCCUGACCAACAGGAUGUCAGGUUGUAUUCUUACCCUGUCAGUUUAAGACAGUGUUUUUGUAUCAUUGCCUUUAUUUUAAUUUUCCUAUUA